AUUGAACGCUGGCGGCAGGCCUAACACAUGCAAGUCGGGCGAGCUGCGGACGGGUGAGUAAUGUAUUGGUAUCUGCCUGAUGGCGGGGGAUAACUACUGGAAACGGUAGCUAAUACCUCAUACCAUCAGAUGCACCCAUAUGGGAUUAGCUGGUAGGUAAGGUAACGGCUUACCUAGGCGACAAUCCCUCGCUGGUCUGAGAGGAUGAUAAGCCACAUUGGGACUGAGACACGGCCCAGGCGCCUAGGGGAGGGAGCAGUGGGGAAUAUUGAGCAAUGGGGGCAACCCUGACGCAGCCAUGACGCGUGAAUGAAGAAGGCCUGAGGGUUGUAAAGUUCUUUCGGUAGCGAGGCGUUAACUACAGAAGAAGCACCGGCUAACUCCGUGCCAGCAGCCGCGGUAAUAC
rnacentral:rRNA from 1 species